UCUCCCAGCCUCUCCCAGCUCUCCCAGCCUUUCCCAGCAAUCCCAGCCUCUGUCAGCUCUCCCAGCCUCUCCCAGCAAUCCCAGCCUCUCCCAGCCUCCAGCCCUGCCAGGAUGCUCACUCUCAACACUGCCCUGCUGGGUGUCCUAGAGUGCCCAAGGCCUAUGCCCCUGCCACCAGCCAUUCUUGUGCCGCUUCCCCCUUUUUGAGUCCAUUGCUGCAGCUAAGACCUGGGCUCAGCACUCUGAGAAAGGUUUGCUAUUCCAAAGACAGCCAAAAACAUUUCACAGGCAUUUUCUAACUGAACCACCCUGAGAGGAAGCCAUCACAUUCUCCACAGCACGUGUGAGGAAACUGAAGACCUGCCUGGUCAAGUAGCUUGCCAGUGGUCACACAGCAAGUGAGUGAGAAAGCACAGCCACACAACCACACUCCAGGGUGUGUGUGUGUGUGUGUGUGUGUGUGUGGUGUAUUUUCCCUGAGAUUCACAACAGCUUCCAUUCAAACUGCUCCAGAUCUGUAAUUACAGGCUUCCAGUAAUCUUAAUAUCUUUCUCUUUAGUAAAGUUAAAUGUAGGUGAAUUUAAGCUAAAUUUAUGAAUAGAACUUCAACAAAAAUGCUUAGAACAAGUAAAGCUCCAAAGACUCAGUGAAGCCUGUUAUCUUUCCUAACCAAUUCUACAUUGUUCUCUUCACCAUGUAUCCUGACCUCCAUCACCACCCUGUGUGAGAAAGGUGUGACUGCAUCCAUUGCACUGGUUCUGCAAAUCGCAUGAGGGAGCAGGACAGACCUGAGACCUGCACCCAGGGCAAAGUGUGGGCCACACACUGGGCUCCAUGCUUUCCAUGUUCUCUGCUUGCUCAAUCCUGGAAGCAACCAUGUAGGGUAAGCAGUGCCAUCCUCUCCGUUUUACAGAAGCACAGAGCAGUAAAAUGACUGGCCCAAGAUCACAUGGCUUGUAAGCGGCAGAACUCCAAUCGCAACCCAGGAAGUCUGGCUCCAGAGCCCAUGCUUAUCCCUGACAUUCUGAAUUUAUUGUAAAUCUUGAUGUCUUUCAGCUUCAGCCAGAAAACAUUCUCCUUUCCUUUUUCCUUGAGACAGAAAAAAAUCCUACAUCUUCCAGCAAUGGCUCCAGCACAGUCCUCUACCACCUGCUGGGGAGAAUCAGCCUUCAUGUGUGGACAGCAUCUCCACAUGAAACCCACUUGCAUCUCAUUCAUCCUCACGACAGCCCUAUGUGUUUGGUGUUGUUUCUCCACUUGACUGAGCAGGAAACUGAGGUUCAGAGAGGUUAAGCUACUUGCCCAAGGUCCCACAGCUCACAAUCUGUGGAUCAAGCCCUUGAACCCAGGCCCCCCUAGACUGGGCUCCAAAGCCGAUGAUCUCUUCUCUUUACUCAGUGGGAGGUUUUAAAUCAGAGCAUUUAAAACACAGAAACAACAGACAAUCCUUUAUAAUAGAAGAGUACAUCAAAUAGAACCACACUAGUGUCACACAGACAGCCUCCUCAUUUUCCCAUAACCAUAUGCCUGUUGGCGAGGCUCGCUCUGCUUGGUUUAAAGCAGUGCUUACAAACUCAAAUGCCCACAGGGACCAGCAGGCAAUGAAAGGAGUGGCACCGGCCUGGGGUUUUACAGUAAUUGUAACAGCCACGGUAGGCCUGCUGCACACUGGAGAAUGCCCACCCACCUGUCUUAGGGGAGGCAGCCUUGACUCUGCUCUAAGCCAUUGUUGCCAUGCAGGGAGGCAGGAUGGGCAUUGCCAACUCAUCCUACUUUUCAAAAGAAGCCAGGAAUCCAGAUUUUUAUGUAGAAUCUCUUAAUUUUUAAAUGAUGGAAACUAAUUCAAAUGUUUCUUUAACCACUAUUUAAGCCAAACAAAACACAUCGUGUAGCUGGAUUCAGCUUAAAGGGUGUCAUUCUGUGACAUCCGGUUUUAAAGUUUAUAGAGGAUAUAAAGUGUAGUUCAUUUAAAGAAAGUCCAAUUUAGUGUAAAAUUAUCAAUUUAGUGUAAAAAUGUUCAAAUGUUUCUCUAAACACAGUAUAAGCCAAACAAAACAUAUCUGGUUGCUAGAUUCAGCUUGCGGGGUACCAUUUUGUGAUGUCCAGUGUUAAACUUUACAGAGGAUAGAAAUGUAGUUCACUUCGAGAAAGGUCAAUUUAGUACGAAAAUUAUCUGUGGAAAUCAAGACAAGCCUCUGAUACACAUGCCAAUUUGUUAAUGAGAGUAUUUCUCCCAGCAGCACUUGCUCUGAAGGAACACUUGGUUCAUCAGAAGAAAAAAAGCCCAUUGUUGUCACCAUCUCAAAUCUGUUGGGUAGAUACCACAGCCGGGUCUUCGCAUGAUCCCCCUGUCUGCAGUUAGCAGAGCUGUCAUGCUGUGUGGCCGUGGAAUGAUCUCCAGAUUUCAUGUGAUGCCAAUGAAGUACAGGAAAAACUGGACUCCCAGAAACCACCACAAAGUAAUCACUCUCCCAUCUCUGCUUGGUACCUUUGGUGGCCAGAGGACCUUCCUCAGGGAUCUGGUCUUGAACGUGGCUGCAGAGAUUCUUCCACAAGCACAUCUCAGGCAGCCAAAAAGAUUGUGUUGAAUUUUAUGUUCUGUGGGUUUCUUUCCAAAAUAAUAGAUAUGGUGAGUAUAUUGGAUACGCUUUCUCAAUCCAUGGUCUUUCUCCCAACCCCAUAUUCUAAUACUCCUCCAGGUGGUAUGGUCCUGUAGCAUGUGAUACGUUUAACACCUCUUAAGUUCUGAUUCCCCUUUCUUCUGGUAAUAUAUCCCAAUUUUCCUUUGCGGAACAGCCAUUUAUCCAUUUAAUGCAGUCUUAGAAGAACUUUCAAUGACUGUUCCUGCCUUUCCUAGCCAAAGGGUGAGCACACAAGCCACCAGCCCAAGCAGAUGCUCUCUCCCUGGAAGGUGACUUUUGAGCACUAUGUCCCAUGGCCUAAGCAUGGUUCUUAAAGAUGAUGCCUUAAGGAUACAGUCCAUUAGUUCCUGCUACCCAGAUCCCAGAAGCUACCCUGUUCCCUGUCCUUUUGGAGGUUAGUUAUUCAGCUUAUCCUUUAGUUCUCCAAGUUGAAUAGCCUCUCAAUAAAUUCCUGUUUUGCUUAAGAUAGUCAAGUUGGAUUCUGUUGCUAACAGCCAAAGAACUCUAAUUGAUACAUAACUCCCCCUACUAAGAAUAAUUGACCUGGAUUAUAUUUGAAGUCUCUUUUUACCUUCAACAAUCUGUGAUUCCAGUAACCUCCAAUAACAUAAAUUACAGGACAUCUAAAUCAAGAUUUAGGAGAAGAAAAAGAAAAACCCCAAACUCACAGAUACAAGAGAUUAAAAAUUUUGUAGUAGAUUGAAUAACUGUCUAACAAAUAUUCACUUCCUCCCCCUCAAACUUGGUGACAGACAUAUGCUUCCCUAGCCUAUUUGUGUUGUGCUUUACCAUGUGACUUACUUUAGCCAAUGGAAUGUGUGAGAAUGUGCCAUCUUUGAGCCUAGGCCUUAAGAGUUCUGUGUUUCUGCUCACCACUAGGAGUUUGCAAUCUCCCCCGUGAGAAGAAUAUGUUUUGGGAAGAAUGGGAGUCAUAUGGAAGUGACUUGAACCCAACUCUCAGCCUGGAGUCAGGCUCAGUCUAGAGAAGCUGAUCCCUAGACAACCUGCAGAUACAUGAGUAAGAAAUAAAGACCUGUCAUGAAGUUUUAA
rnacentral:lncRNA from 1 species